UUGCUCCUGGAUUCAGCGGCGGACGGGUGAGUAAUGCCUAGGAAUCUGCCUGGUAGUGGGGGAUAACGUCCGGAAACGGGCGCUAAUACCGCAUACGUCCUGAGGGAGAAAGUGGGGGAUCUUCGGACCUCACGCUAUCAGAUGAGCCUAGGUCGGAUUAGCUAGUUGGUGGGGUAAAGGCCUACCAAGGCGACGAUCCGUAACUGGUCUGAGAGGAUGAUCAGUCACACUGGAACUGAGACACGGUCCAGACUCCUACGGGAGGCAGCAGUGGGGAAUAUUGGACAAUGGGCGAAAGCCUGAUCCAGCCAUGCCGCGUGUGUGAAGAAGGUCUUCGGAUUGUAAAGCACUUUAAGUUGGGAGGAAGGGCAGUAAGUUAAUACCUUGCUGUUUUGACGUUACCAACAGAAUAAGCACCGGCUAACUUCGUGCCAGCAGCCGCGGUAAUACGAAGGGUGCAAGCGUUAAUCGGAAUUACUGGGCGUAAAGCGCGCGUAGGUGGUUCAGCAAGUUGGAUGUGAAAUCCCCGGGCUCAACCUGGGAACUGCAUCCAAAACUACUGAGCUAGAGUACGGUAGAGGGUGGUGGAAUUUCCUGUGUAGCGGUGAAAUGCGUAGAUAUAGGAAGGAACACCAGUGGCGAAGGCGACCACCUGGACUGAUACUGACACUGAGGUGCGAAAGCGUGGGGAGCAAACAGGAUUAGAUACCCUGGUAGUCCACGCCGUAAACGAUGUCGACUAGCCGUUGGGAUCCUUGAGAUCUUAGUGGCGCAGCUAACGCGAUAAGUCGACCGCCUGGGGAGUACGGCCGCAAGGUUAAAACUCAAAUGAAUUGACGGGGGCCCGCACAAGCGGU
rnacentral:rRNA from 1 species